CAGGCUUAACACAUGCAAGUCGAGGGGCAGCAUUUUAGUUUGCUUGCAAACUGAAGAUGGCGACCGGCGCACGGGUGAGUAACACGUAUCCAACCUGCCGAUAACUCCGGAAUAGCCUUUCGAAAGAAAGAUUAAUACCGGAUAGCAUACGAAUAUCGCAUGAUAUUUUUAUUAAAGAAUUUCGGUUAUCGAUGGGGAUGCGUUCCAUUAGUUUGUUGGCGGGGUAACGGCCCACCAAGACAACGAUGGAUAGGGGUUCUGAGAGGAAGGUCCCCCACAUUGGAACUGAGACACGGUCCAAACUCCUACGGGAGGCAGCAGUGAGGAAUAUUGGUCAAUGGGCGAGAGCCUGAACCAGCCAAGUAGCGUGAAGGAUGAAGGCUCUAUGGGUCGUAAACUUCUUUUAUAUGGGAAUAAAGUUUUCCACGUGUGGAAUUUUGUAUGUACCAUAUGAAUAAGGAUCGGCUAACUCCGUGCCAGCAGCCGCGGUAAUACGGAGGAUCCGAGCGUUAUCCGGAUUUAUUGGGUUUAAAGGGAGCGUAGGUGGAUUGUUAAGUCAGUUGUGAAAGUUUGCGGCUCAACCGUAAAAUUGCAGUUGAAACUGGCAGUCUUGAGUACAGUAGAGGUGGGCGGAAUUCGUGGUGUAGCGGUGAAAUGCUUAGAUAUCACGAAGAACUCCGAUUGCGAAGGCAGCUCACUAGACUGUCACUGACACUGAUGCUCGAAAGUGUGGGUAUCAAACAGGAUUAGAUACCCUGGUAGUCCACACAGUAAACGAUGAAUACUCGCUGUUUGCGAUAUACAGUAAGCGGCCAAGCGAAAGCAUUAAGUAUUCCACCUGGGGAGUACGCCGGCAACGGUGAAACUCAAAGGAAUUGACGGGGGCCCGCACAAGCGGAGGAACAUGUGGUUUAAUUCGAUGAUACGCGAGGAACCUUACCCGGGCUUAAAUUGCAACAGAAUAUAUUGGAAACAGUAUAGCCGUAAGGCUGUUGUGAAGGUGCUGCAUGGUUGUCGUCAGCUCGUGCCGUGAGGUGUCGGCUUAAGUGCCAUAACGAGCGCAACCCUUAUCUUUAGUUACUAACAGGUGAUGCUGAGGACUCUAGAGAGACUGCCGUCGUAAGAUGUGAGGAAGGUGGGGAUGACGUCAAAUCAGCACGGCCCUUACGUCCGGGGCUACACACGUGUUACAAUGGGGGGUACAGAAGGCGGCUACCUGGUGACAGGAUGCUAAUCCCAAAAACCUCUCUCAGUUCGGAUCGAAGUCUGCAACCCGACUUCGUGAAGCUGGAUUCGCUAGUAAUCGCGCAUCAGCCAUGGCGCGGUGAAUACGUUCCCGGGCCUUGUACACACCGCCCGUCAAGCCAUGAAAGCCGGGGGUACCUGAAGUACGUAACCGCAAGGAGCGUCCUAGGGUAAAACUGGUAAUUGGGGCUAAG
rnacentral:rRNA from 1 species